rnacentral:misc_RNA from 1 species
AACAUCGCGCACCUGCGGGAACCUGCGGAAGGAUCAUUACAGAGUUGCAAAACUCCCUAAACCAUUGUGAACGUUACCUAAACCGUUGCUUCGGCGGGCGGCCCGGGUCCUUCCCGGCGCCCAUCGGCCCUCGCGGGCGCCCGCCGGAGGUAAACCAAACUAUUGCAUUGUAUGGCCUCUCUGAGUCUUCUGUACUGAAUAAGUCAAAACUUUCAACAAUUGAUCUCAGAUCGGAAGAGC